GCCGUGCGUUACCGGGAUAUUGGGCGUAAGCGCGCGCAGGUGGUUUCUUAAGUCUGAUGUGAAAGCCCGCGGCUCAACCGUGGAGGGUCAUUGGAAACUGGGAGACUUGAGUGCAGAAGAGGAGAGUGGAAUUCCAUGUGUAGCGGUGAAAUGCGUAGAGAUAUGGAGGAACACCAGUGGCGAAGGCGACUUUCUGGUCUGUAACUGACACUGAGGCGCGAAAGCGUGGGGAGCAAACAGGAUUAGAUACCCUGGUAGUCCACGCCGUAACGAUGAGUGCUAAGUGGUAGAGGGUUUCCGCCCUUUAGUGCUGAAGUAACGCAUUAAGCACUCCGCCUGGGGAGUACGGCCGCAAGGCUGAAACUCAAAGGAAUUGACGGGGGCCCGCACAAGCGGGGGAGCAUGUGGUUUAAUUCGAAGCAACGCGAAGAACCUUACCACGUCUUGACAUCCUCUGACUACCCUAAAGAUAGGGCUUCUCCUUCGGGAGCAGAGUGACAGGUGGUGCAUGGUUGUCGUCAGCUCGUGUCGUGAGAUGUUGGGUUAAGUCCCCGCACGAGCGCAACCCUUGAUCUUGAUUGCCAUCACUUAGUGUGGCACUCUCAGGUGACUGCCGGUGACAACCGGAGGAAGGGGGGAUGACGUCAAUCAUCAUGCCCCUAUGACCUGGGCUACCCCGUGCUACAUGGACGGUACAAGAGCUGCCGACCGCGAGAGGAGCUAUCUCAAAACCGUUCCAGUCGGAUGUAGCUGCACUCCCUCCUGAACUGGAUCGUAGUAUCCGGACACAUGCCGGGGAUACGUCCCGGCCUGUCCCCCGCCGUCCCCACGGAGUGGGACCCCGAAGCGGUGGGUACCUUUGGAGCACCGCUAUGUGGACGAGAUGGGUGAUUAGAGAGAAGGUAAAAAACCCAAGGGGGGGGGCCCCGGCCCCGGGGAAGGGAGCGGGGGGGGGGGGGCGGCGCC
rnacentral:rRNA from 1 species